GUUUCCGAAAUGGAUCUGUGGAGUACGGCUUCGAAGAAGAACACAACGAAAUGCGAUACGAAAUGUGAAUUGCAGAAUUCAGUGAAUCAUCGAGUCUUUGAACGCACAUUGCGCCCCUUGGUAUUCCGGGGGGCAUGCCUGUCCGAGCGUCAUUGCUGCCCUCAAGCACGGCUUGUGUGUUGGGCCCCGUCCUCCUUCCCGGGGGACGGGCCCCAAAGGCAGCGGCGGCACCGCGUCCGGUCCUCGAGCGUAUGGGGCUUUGUCACCCGCUCUUGUAGGCCCGGCCGGCGCUUGCCGACAACAAUCAAUCUUUUUUCAGGUUGACCUCGGAUCAGGUAGGGAUACCCGCUGAACUUAAGCAUAUCAAUAAGCGGAGGAAGUUCCGAGGUGAAGCUGCGGAUAUCAUAUUAAAAGCGGAGGACCCUCCUGAAAAAAAAGCACCCAUCCGCAAAUAACAACCGGGAACCCUAUACAUAUAA
rnacentral:rRNA from 1 species